GAUGAACGCUGGCGGCGUGCCUAACACAUGCAAGUCGAGCGAUUCUCUUCGGAGAAGAGCGGCGGACGGGUGAGUAACGCGUGGGUAACCUGCCCUGUACACACGGAUAACAUACUGAAAGGUAUGCUAAUACGAGAUAAUAUACUUUUAUCGCAUGGUAGAAGUAUCAAAGCUUUUGCGGUAUAGGAUGGACCCGCGUCUGAUGAGCUAGUUGGUAAGGUAACGGCUUACCAAGGCGACGAUCAGUAGCCGACCUGAGAGGGUGAUCGGCCACAUUGGAACUGAGACACGGUCCAAACUCCUACGGGAGGCAGCAGUGGGGAAUAUUGCACAAUGGGCAAAAGCCUGAUGCAGCAACGCCGCGUGAGCGAUGAAGGCCUUCGGGUCGUAAAGCUCUGUCCUCAAGGAAGAUAAUGACGGUACUUGAGGAGGAAGCCCCGGCUAACUACGUGCCAGCCGCCGCCGUAA
rnacentral:rRNA from 1 species